rnacentral:rRNA from 1 species
AGCGAACGCUGGCGGCAGGCCUAACACAUGCAAGUCGAACGGAUCCUUCGGGAUUAGUGGCGGACGGGUGAGUAACACGUGGGAACGUGCCCUUUGGUUCGGAACAACUCAGGGAAACUUGAGCUAAUACCGGAUGUGCCCUUCGGGGGAAAGAUUUAUCGCCAUUGGAGCGGCCCGCGUCUGAUUAGCUAGUUGGUGAGGUAACGGCCCACCAAGGGCACGAUCAGUAGCUGGUCUGAGAGGAUGAUCAGCCACACUGGGACUGAGACACGGCCCAGACUCCUACGGGAGGCAGCAGUGGGGAAUCUUGCGCAAUGGGCGAAAGCCUGACGCAGCCAUGCCGCGUGAAUGAUGAAGGUCUUAGGAUUGUAAAAUUCUUUCAGCGGGGACGAUAAUGACGGUACCCGCAGAAGAAGCUCCGGCUAACUUCGUG